GCUGUGGUGCUGUAAUGGUUAGCAUUUCUGCCUAGCCAGCAAGAAGAUCUGGGUUCGAGCCCCAGCCACAGCA